GGAGAAUUGCUUGAACCCAGGAGGUGGAGGUUGCAGUGGGCUGAGAUGCUGCCGCUGCAUUCCAGCCUGGGCGACAGAGUGAGACUGUAUCCCCCCCACCCCCCAAAAUAAGCAAAUAAAUGUAGUAAUUAUAAAGUAUGAAAAUAAUAAGCAACAUGUACUACGUGCUUACUCUGUGUAACACACUGUUCUAAGCAUUUUCCAUCAAUUUUGUACACAUUCCUUAUAGCAUCCUUAUGAGGUGGAUAUGACUGGUAGCUUUUAUAUAUUUAAAAAGAAACCAUGAAGCUCAGAGAGAUUGAAUAACUUAUUCAAGGUCACAGAACUAGGAAACAGUGGGAUCAAGAUUCAAACCCAAGAAGUGACGAAAGCACACAGCUAUUAAAUGAAAGACCAGAAUGACAAGGAGCCAGUCCCAAGAAAAGCAGGGUAUGUGAAAACCCUGAGUCAGGAAAUAGCUGGGUGCAUCAAAGAACUGAGAGAUGACUGGUGUGACUGAAAUAUGUUUUUUAAAAAGGGAGAAGAGUGAUACUAAAUAAUAGGGAGGACUGGCAAGAGUGAAUUAUGCAAGGUCUUGGAUGUCAUGAAGGAUCGACUGGUUAUUUUGAUAUCAUGUCCUAUUUCUUAGAACUUUAGUCUUCUUGCUUUCUGUUUCCAGGGUUUCUUUAGGUGUUUUGGCAUCUGCUGUCACAUCUGUGUCUCACUCAGCUCUAUAGGAAAACAUUUAACUCUCUCCUGCCACCUGCCAGAGAUAUGCCCUGAGGCUCUGUACCUUUGGCUUCAGUCAUCGCUUGACCACAUGCAACUCUCUCAACACCCGUGAAGAACCUGCCAGAAUGUAGGAACACAACCAGGAAUGUGAGCAUGGGUUAUCUCACUCUUUCAUGACUUAAACUAAUGUAGGAUUUUAGCACAACCCUGUAAGAUAUGGCCUAGAGAAAAAAAAGAACACAAGACAACAGUCGUCCGUCUAUGAUCCGUCUCUUGUUCUCUCCCAUUCUAUAACCACUGGGAUCUUAUCUGAGUAGGAAAGCAAGAAAAAUUUGUUUAUGGAAUAAACUUUAUGACCUGUGUCUUAUAAGAUUAUACUUCAGAAAAACAAAAUCUCACCCUCUUGCACUUCUAAAAGCCUUUUCUCUCAAGAUCAUAAUCUCUAUUUUCAGUACCAAAAGUCUGUUUUAAGUACAGACUUAAAAUAUUGACCCAUUUGUUUUCCCCUGAAUUUAUUUUCCUAAAAGACACAAUUCCAUAUUUUCCUAGCUGUUGGGUAGGGGCUGCAAGUACAAUAAAUUGUGUUUGAAGUGUGAGGGUAGCACUGAUGAAGAUGUAGACAUAUCAGUCAAUAAUUCAACAUAUUCCUACACAUGUGCUUUCCCCCAUUAGAAAUAAAAGCCUGAGAAAAGAAAUGGUUAUUCUUUUGACAACUGUGUUCUCAGCAUCUAGAAUAGCACCUGGAAAAUGAAUAUUUGUUGAAUGAAGACCUGUACAUAAAAUGGCUCAAAUCCUCAUCAACACAAACACCCACAGAAGUAUUGAAAGAGAAAAGGACUAGAGGCAGAAACCUGAGAAAAACAAAUAAUUUAAGGUGGAAGAUAGUGGACAAAUUGUUAGUGAAGGAGGAUAAGAAGGAGAGGUCAGCAAAUUAGAAGAAAACCCAGGUGAAAAAAGAAAAGUGGUACAGAAAGCAAAGAAGGAGAGAAUUCAAAGGGCAGAGAAAGCAAACUAUGUUAAGAAGAAAAUAAAAAACAGUGAUCUGGUAGAAUAAAGGCUUAAGAGCAGGUGAAUGGUUUUGACAAUUUAUAGGCCAUUAAUAACCUUUGAGAGAUCAGCUUGAAUGAAAUAGUUGGUUCAGAAGUCCAAUUGCAAUGGGCUGAAGAGUCAGAAACCAGCUAGGAUAAUGAAUGUGAAAGUGCUUCUUAAAUCUUAAACCACUUUAAAAAUGCAAUUAGAAUAUACAGCUUGUUAGAUUUAGGUCCUGCUUGUUGCUCAUUCACCAAACUUUCUGAAUUCAUCUAUUUUUCUUGGCAUCAAGCACAGGCAGCUAGGGCUUUAGCUGAGUAUGUCACAAUCAAUGAAACAGAUGUUAACAUUUCCUUAACAUUUUUCUUCUUCCUUGACCUAACCUUUCUUCAUAGCAUGCCCAGGUUUAAAUUAAUGCACUGUGAUUAAACAAUCUUCAAAUGCACUCCACUGUUUCUCUAGGUCAUUUCAAUAGGUCAUCUUCUAUUGCCAACACCUUCACAACUUGCCCUCAGCUUCUUAAAAAAUUCUGAUUUGUUUAGGCAAAAUUGAUAAAACUUUGAAUGUGUCCUUGACCUCAGCCACGAGAUCUGGAACACAAUCUAUCACUUAACCAUGCCUCAGAACUGGCCCCAAUUGCAUUAUUUUGAAUACUUCUUAUUUCUUGGCUUCUCUAUCCCUGAUUUCCAUUUUUAUGGAUUCCCUGUCUAUCAAGUGAACUACUAGACAUUGCAUGAACUUAAGAUAUCAUUAAUUACACUCUGAAAGUUUUCUUUUCCUGACUCGGGCAUAUAUUUCUCAAAUAACCUCAUUCUAAUUUUCCUUUUAAUGACACCUAAUUGUCAGAACAUUAAUAGAAAGGCAUAAAAUCAGAAAUUUUAGAUUGGUUAUAUUUAAAAUAAUUCAGAAAGUAACGGUUUGAGAGUAUAUUAAUUUGUUUCAUAGAGAAAACACUAGCAGAUAUUAAUAUUUAAAGUUUCCUGCCACUAUUUGAGAUUUUUCUACCAGAACCUUAUAACUUAUCUUUUCAGCACCAGAACUGUUUAUGAAGAAAAAUAAUCAAAUGAAAUAAUUUCAUAGUUAUUUUUAUUGGCAAAACAGUGACAUCUAUUGUUCAGUGUUAUAUAAAAUGGAAUUCAAAAAUCAAAAGCAAUGCCUUAUUUUUAAUGUGAUUAGCUCCAGAAUAAUAACUUCUUAGAUUUAUUGUUUCAAAAAGAGUAAUGGAUGAUAUUCAAUAAUUCAUUUUUAUUCUGAAAUCAAAUUUAGGUGAUUAUUUAGGAUCAUGAACAUGUAAUUAUGAUUCAAAGGCCCAAGAUCUGUCUAGGUACUAAAAAUAGAAAGAAAGAAAUAAGAUAAAAAUAUGGAAUAAAAUUCUUAAAGGUGACUGCUUUUUUUCUAUAUAUGUAUUUUUCUUGGUAUAAAUCAGUUUAAUAUGUUUACUGAAAUCUGUGAAUCCGCAGAUUGAUUUCUGAACUCAAGGCAAGUUUCUGUUCUCAUCUUAAUUCUGUUGUUAACUAAAUCUGUGAAUUUAAAUAAGUUGCUUUCAUCUUGGCUACAGUUUAUUAUCCACAAAAAUAUGAGUAUGAGUCUUGAACUGAAAGUAGUCAACUUCCUGCUAGCAUUUAUUUUUCCAGAAGAUGCUAUUCAGAAUCACUAGAUUAAGCAAAAAUUUUUAAAGUUUGACCAUACUGAGUGUCCAUAAUGAUAUGGAAGAAUUGAAAUUCUCAAAUACUGAUGUUAGGAGUAUAAACAAAUACAGUCCCUUUCUAAAGCAAUUUGAAAAUAUCCUGUAAAUUUUAAGGUGAAUCUAUCCCAUCAUCCUGCUUUUCCGUUUGUGUAAGCACUUCACAGGGAAUUCCCACACAUGCACACAAGGAGGUAUUUUCAAGAACUACAUCAUUGCAAUAUUGAAAAAUUCACAAUAUAUUACAGGAGAAUUUAUAAAAUCUUGCAUCUGUACCUACUGAUAUAUUUUACAAUAUAAACAUAAAAUGAUUGAAUUACAGUAGCAUCUAUCAACAUGGGUAAACCUCAAUCAAACAAUAUGAGUAAAAGAGGCACAUUUCAGAUUAUGUAGCAAAUGACCUUUUAUAUAAGAAACCAAAAUGUUUCUAUUCAUUGACUAUGGGCACACCAUAGGUAAAAAAGUAUAAAAUAUUCAUGAGAAUAAUAAAGAACAAAUUCAUGACAAUGGUCACCUAUGGAAAUACAGGGGAGGUAAUGUGACCAGGAUGGAUACACUGGGACUUGAACUGCAUCUGAAAUGUUUUCCUUAUUGAACAAAAAGAGAGAAAGACAUCUGAAGCAAAAUAAGGCAAACUGAGGAGCUGUUUUCAAUGAGUUAUGGGCACACUGAUUCUUAUUAGAUGAUUAUACUUUUCUGCAU
rnacentral:lncRNA from 10 species